rnacentral:rRNA from 1 species
AUUGAACGCUGGCGGCAGGCCUAACACAUGCAAGUCGAGCGAGCGGCGGACGGGUGAGUAAUGUCUGGGAAACUGCCUGAUGGAGGGGGAUAACUACUGGAAACGGUAGCUAAUACCGCAUACCAUCAGAUGUGCCCAGAUGGGAUUAGCUGGUAGUGGGGGUAACGGCUCACCUAGGCGACGAUCCCUAGCUGGUCUGAGAGGAUGACCAGCAACACUGGAACUGAGACACGGUCAAGACUCGUCCGGGAGGCAGCAGUGGGGAAUAUUGCACAAUGGGCGAAAGCCUGAUGCAGCACUGCCGCGUGUGUGAAGAGGGCCUUCGGGUUGAAAAGCACUUUCAGCGGGGAGGCGUUACCCGCAGAAGAAGCACCGGCUAACUCCGUGCCAGCAGCCGCGGUAAUAC